rnacentral:ncRNA from 2 species
UAAUUAUAAUAUUAUUUAGGUUCUAUAUUUAUAUAGAUUAAAAGGGAAAGCGGUGAAAAUCCGCUACAGCCCCCGCUACUGUAAACGGUUACGAAUUCCAUAUCCACUGGCGAAAGCUGGGAAGGGGGAAGGAGGCUAAGCCGUAAGUCAGGAUACCUGCCUUAUUAAUAGUGAAAGC